rnacentral:rRNA from 1 species
GGCGCGCAAAUUACCCAAUUCUAACAGCAUAAGAGAGGUAGUGACAAGAAAUAACAGUACAAGGCAGUUAAAAUGCUUUGUAAUUGGAAUGAUAGAAAUUUAAACGCUUUUUAAAGUAUCAAUUGGAGGGCAAGUCUGGUGCCAGCAGCCGCGGUAAUUCCAGCUCCAAUAGCGUAUAUUAAAAUUGUUGCAGUUAAAAAGCUCGUAGUUGAAUUUCUGCUAAAAAUAACCGGUCUGCUUUUAUUUAUAAAAGUGGUAUCUUGGUGUGUUUUUAGUAAUAAUAUCUUUAGAAAUGUUUUUUACUUUGCUGUAAAAAGCAAUAUUCAGGAUUUUUACUUUGAGAAAAUUAGAGUGUUUCAAGCAAGCUAACGUUUUGAAUACUGCAGCAUGGAAUAAUAAAAUAGGAUUUU